rnacentral:tRNA from 1 species
GCCUGGGUGGCUCAGUCGGUUAAGCGUCCGACUUCAGCUCAGGUCACGAUCUCGCAGUCCGUGGGUUCAAGCCCCAUGUCGGGCU